rnacentral:rRNA from 1 species
UACGAAGGGGGCUAGCGUUGUCCGGAUUCAUUGGGCGUAAAGAGCGUGUAGGCGGCCAGGUAGGUCGGUUGUGAAAACUGGAGGCUCAACCUUCAGAGGUCGACCGAAACCAUCUGGCUAGAGUCCGGGAGAGGAGAGUGGAAUUCCUGGUGUAGCGGUGAAAUGCGCAGAUAUCAGGAAGAACACCCGUGGCGAAAGCGGCUCUCUGGAACGGUACUGACGCUGAGACGCGAAAGCGUGGGGAGCGAACAGG